AAAGAUAGGAACGCAUAGAACUAGAGUCCAGAUGAGAGGGCAGAGCUAGGAGGAGAUGCUGAUAUGCAUAGAUUACAUAGAAGAGACUACAAAUAGAUGCAGAUAUAGCAGAAGACAAUCAAGUUGUAUAUGUUAUGUAUAGAACAUACAUAUACUACGAUGUGGCAUUAUAUAACAGUGGUCGAUCGAUGACAAAUUUAUCUGAUGCCAUGGAGAAUAGUUCUUGUCACCGAGGCAAGUAGCUGCUUUGCUAAACUCCCUGAUCUCUCCUUAUAUUGGUUGAUUAUCUGGUAAUAUCAUUGCACCUUGAUCUUUGUUGAGCCUCUGUUGAUCCUUGAGAGAGGGAUGUGUUUUCCUCAUAAUCCAUUUGUUGAUAGAAUCAGAGUAUUUUGGAGGAACUCAUGAAAAGUCAUGAGUGUAUUGUCUUUGACUGAUAUUUCAGUGGUCCUAUCGUUGAUUCAAACACACAUCCAUCAAUAUUGGUGUCAUGACACAAACGUAAUUGUACCGGUCACAGUUCAGGUAUGGGACUGUCUGGGUUCUCUGCUAAGAAUGACACCCGUUCGGAAGCGUGUCGGUGAUGGAUCUGUAGGAGCGAUCGACACUAGUAAGUCGGGUGGUCGGUUCUUAGGGGAUCAAAGAGCUCUACUUUUCUGGAACCUGUGUGGUUCUAGUCGAGGCUGUCGACGUCGGAGUACCCCUCUUAAGAGUGUAAAAGUGUGAAAUUUCACCCCUGUGACUCCCGGGUUGAGAAGCUUGCGGUCAUGUGUGACGCUAAUAAUUUCUUGGUCUAUUUUCAUUAUAUCCGGUUAUAUUGUUCUUUUAUCUAUUUUAAAUGAAUUGGCUCCAGCAAUUUGUCACGUUAUUUAUGCUCCUUUAGAUACAGUCAACCUAUUGUUACUGUAUCAAUAUCCUUAAAUUCUACUCUUGUUGAAUAGUGAUGUAUCUACUUGCUGAAUAUGAUUUGUCGUACUCACCCUUGCCUCCUCUGUUUUUUAGAUGUGGACGAUGUAACUUAUGUAUGUUCAACUUAAGUAUGUUCAGAAGAUGUCUUCAUCCAAGACUAGGCUUGACCAGCGGAUCGGAAGCGACUAGAGAAUAUGAUGUCUUUAUUCAACUAUUUAUAAAUGUCAAGGAAUUUGUAUAAUAAAUAUAUGAGCUUAUGUGAUCCACUGCUAGUUUAUGCCUGCUUUAUCAAGCCUUGCGUGACUAUAGGCCUCUGGUCUAUA
rnacentral:lncRNA from 1 species